rnacentral:rRNA from 1 species
AGUCGAGAAUCUUCGGCAAUGGGCGCAAGCCUGACCGAGCGACGCCGCGUGUGGGAUGAAGGCCUUCGGGUUGUAAACCGCUGUCAGAGGGGAGGAAUGGGCGGAGGGUAAUCUCUUCGUUUUGACCUAUCCUCAGAGGAAGUACGGGCUAAGUUCGUGCCAGCAGCCGCGGUAAGACGAACCGUACGAACGUUAUUCGGAAUCACUGGGCUUAAAGGGUGCGUAGGCGGCGAUGAAAGUUGGGUGUGAAAUCCCUCGGCUCAACCGAGGAACUGCGCCCAAAACUACAUUGCUUGAGGGAGAUAGAGGUGAGCGGAACUUAGGGUGGAGCGGUGAAAUGCGUUGAUAUCCUAAGGAACGCCAGGGGCGAAAGCGGCUCACUGGAUCUCUUCUGACGCUGAGGCACGAAAGCUAGGGUAGCGAA